rnacentral:lncRNA from 1 species
UGAAUCUCUUCAUCUCCUCAGAUACUGAGGUAAGUCUCCUGUCUUCCUACAGGACACAGCCAAGAAUCUAUUCUUCAGCUCAGAUACCACGUUAAAGCUGCUUAUGUCUUCCUACAGGAAAGGGCCAUGCAUUUGCCCGUCUCCAGGGAUACUAAGGACUGAACCAUGCAUCUGUUCAUCUCAUGGACACUAAGACAAGUUUCCUGACGUCUUCCUACAGCAUAGAGCUAUGCAUCUAUUAAUCUGCCUCGGUGUACUGCUUUAAUUCUUACGUCUUCCCACAGAACACGGCCAUGUAUCUGUUGUUCAUCUCCUCAUGUAUUAAGGUUAGUCCACUGAUGCCUUCCUGCAGGACAGAGCCAUGAUUCUGUUAAUUUACCAGGAACUAAGGGAAGGUAUCCUUGUAUGUUACUGAUAUCCAUGCAUUUCUUCAUCUGCUUGGGUACCAUGAACAUCUUCUGUCUACCUAUAGGACACAGCCAGGAAUCUAUUCAUCCACUAGGAUACCAAGAUAAGGUUGCUUUUGAGGUUGUUCAUCUGCAGGGAUACUAAUGUAAGGCUGCGGAUUCCCCACACCGUGAAACUCAGGACCUCGUGCUUGUGAGGAAGGCAAAGCGACACUGAGCUACCUCCCACCCGCUGAUGUCUUCCUACAAGACAGGGCCAUGUUUUCAGAUGCUAAGGUAAGGCUCAUUCUGUCUUCACAGAGGACAUGGCCAUCCAUUUGUUCAACUCCUCAUAUACUCAGGUAAAUCUGCUGAUGCCUUCCUGCAGGACAGGGCCAUGCUUUUGUUCAUGUGCUGGGAUACUAAGGUAAGUCUGCUUCUGCUUUCCUUCAGGACAGAGCUGUGCUUCUGUUCAUUUGUUGGUAAUUGUCCUUCUGUUUUCCUACAGGACAGAGCCAGACAUCUAUUCAACAGCUCAGAUACUAAGGUAAGGCUGCUGAUGUCUUCCUACAGGACAGGGCCAUGCAACUUUUUAUCUCAUGGACACAAAGACAAGUCUCAACGUCUUCAUACAGGAGAGAGCCAUGUAUCUGUUCAUCUGCCUAGGACACAGCCCGGAAUGUAUUCAUCAGCUCAGAUACUAACUAAGGUAGGGAUGCUGAUGUCUUCCUACAGGACAGAGGCAUGCAUACGUUUUCCUGCACAGAUUCUAAGGACAGAUCCAUGCAUGUCUUCAUCUGCUUGGGUAUCAUGA